rnacentral:rRNA from 1 species
CAAUAGCGUAUAUUAAAGUUGUUGCGGUUAAAAAGCUCGUAGUUGGAUUUCUGCUGAGGACGAUCGGUCCGCCCUCUGGUGAGCAUUGACUCGGCCUUGGCAUCUUCUUGGAGAACGCUACUGCAUUUGACUGUGUGGUGCGGUAUCCAGGACUUUUACUUUGAGGAAAUUAGAGUGUUUCAAGCAGGCGCACGCCUUGAAUACAUUAGCAUGGAAUAAUAGGAUAGGACCUUGGUUCUAUUUUGUUGGUUUCUAGAACAUACGCAAUGAUUAAUAGGGAUAAUUGGGGCGACUCGUAUUAACGCGUCAGAGGUGGAAUUCUUAGAUUGCGUUACGACGAACUACUGCGAAAGCAUUUGCCAAGGAUGUUUUCAUUGAUCAAGAACGAAAGUAUGGGGAGUCGAAGACGAUCAGAU